rnacentral:rRNA from 1 species
CGAGCGGCAGCGGGAAGUAGCUUGCUACUUUUGCCGGCGAGCGGCGGACGGGUGAGUAAUGCCUGGGAAAUUGCCCAGUCGAGGGGGAUAACAGUUGGAAACGACUGCUAAUACCGCAUACGCCCUACGGGGGAAAGCAGGGGACCUUCGGGCCUUGCGCGAUUGGAUAUGCCCAGGUGGGAUUAGCUAGUUGGUGAGGUAAUGGCUCACCAAGGCGACGAUCCCUAGCUGGUCUGAGAGGAUGAUCAGCCACACUGGAACUGAGACACGGUCCAGACUCCUACGGGAGGCAGCAGUGGGGAAUAUUGCACAAUGGGGGAAACCCUGAUGCAGCCAUGCCGCGUGUGUGAAGAAGGCCUUCGGGUUGUA